GCAACUAGGGCUACAUAGAGAAACGCUGACUCAGAAAAAAAAUUCCAAAUUAAACAAAAGGAAAUGUGCACAGGAAAGGAUUAACCUUUCUUCUUCACAGUGGGUGAAGAGCAUAAACGAAUGUGCUGAU
rnacentral:sRNA from 1 species